AUUGAACGCUGGCGGCAGGCCUAACCAUAGCAAACCGAAGGAGGGGCGGACGGGUGAGAAUUGUCUGGGAAACUGCCCGAGGGGGGGGAUUAAUUCUGGGAAACGUUAGCUAAUACCGCAAACCAUCGGAUGUGCCCAGUGGGGAUUAGCUAGUAGGUGGGGUACCGGCUAACCUAGGCGACGAUCCCUAGCUGGUCUGAGAGGAUGACCAGCCACACUGGAACUGAGACACGGUCCAGACUCCUACGGGAGGCAGCAGUGGGGAAUAUUGCACAAUGGGCGCAAGCCUGAUGCAGCCAUGCCGCGUGUAUGAAGAAGGCCUUCGGGUUGUAAAGUACUUUCAGCGAGGAGGCGUUACUCGCAGAAGAAGCACCGGCUAACUCCGUGCCAGCAGCCGCGGUAAUAC
rnacentral:rRNA from 1 species